AUUGAACGCUGGCGGCAGGCCUAACACAUGCAAGUCGAGCGAGCGGCGGACGGGUGAGUAAUGUCUGGGAAACUGCCUGAUGGAGGGGGAUAACUACUGGAAACGGUAGCUAAUACCGCAUACCAUCAGAUGUGCCCCGAUGGGAUUAGCUGGUAGGUGGGGUAACGGCUCACCUAGGCGACGCACCCUCGCUGGUUUGAGAGGGUGACCAGCCAAACUGGAACUGGGAUACGGUCCAGACUCCUACGGGGGGCAGCAGUGGGGAAUAUUGCACAGUGGGCGCAAGCCUGAUGCAGCCAUGCCGCGUGUGUGAAGAAGGCCUUCGGGUUGUAAAGCACUUUCAGCGAGGAGGCGUUACCCGCAGAAGAAGCACCGGCUAACUCCGUGCCAGCAGCCGCGGUAAUUC
rnacentral:rRNA from 1 species